CAGUAGCGGCGAGCGAACGGGGAGGAGCCCAGAGCCUGAAUCAGUGUGUGUGUUAGUGGAAGCGUCUGGAAAGGCGCGCGAUACAGGGUGACAGCCCCGUACACAAAAAUGCACAUGCUGUGAGCUCGAUGAGUAGGGCGGGACACGUGGUAUCCUGUCUGAAUAUGGGGGGACCAUCCUCCAAGGCUAAAUACUCCUGACUGACCGAUAGUGAACCAGUACCGUGAGGGAAAGGCGAAAAGAACCCCGGCGAGGGGAGUGAAAAAGAACCUGAAACCGUGUACGUACAAGCAGUGGGAGCCUCUUUUAUGGGGUGACUGCGUACCUUUUGUAUAAUGGGUCAGCGACUUAUAUUCUGUAGCAAGGUUAACCGAAUAGGGGAGCCGAAGGGAAACCGAGUCUUAACUGGGCGUUAAGUUGCAGGGUAUAGACCCGAAACCCGGUGAUCUAGCCAUGGGCAGGUUGAAGGUUGGGUAACACUAACUGGAGGACCGAACCGACUAAUGUUGAAAAAUUAGCGGAUGACUUGUGGCUGGGGGUGAAAGGCCAAUCAAACCGGGAGAUAGCUGGUUCUCCCCGAAAGCUAUUUAGGUAGCGCCUCGUGAAUUCAUCUCCGGGGGUAGAGCACUGUUUCGGCAAGGGGGUCAUCCCGACUUACCAACCCGAUGCAAACUGCGAAUACCGGAGAAUGUUAUCACGGGAGACACACGGCGGGUGCUAACGUCCGUCGUGAAGAGGGAAACAACCCAGACCGCCAGCUAAGGUCCCAAAGUCAUGGUUAAGUGGGAAACGAUGUGGGAAGGCCCAGACAGCCAGGAUGUUGGCUUAGAAGCAGCCAUCAUUUAAAGAAAGCGUAAUAGCUCACUGGUCGAGUCGGCCUGCGCGGAAGAUGUAACGGGGCUAAACCAUGCACCGAAGCUGCGGCAGCGACGCUUAUGCGUUGUUGGGUAGGGGAGCGUUCUGUAAGCCUGCGAAGGUGUGCUGUGAGGCAUGCUGGAGGUAUCAGAAGUGCGAAUGCUGACAUAAGUAACGAUAAAGCGGGUGAAAAGCCCGCUCGCCGGAAGACCAAGGGUUCCUGUCCAACGUUAAUCGGGGCAGGGUGAGUCGACCCCUAAGGCGAGGCCGAAAGGCGUAGUCGAUGGGAAACAGGUUAAUAUUCCUGUACUUGGUGUUACUGCGAAGGGGGGACGGAGAAGGCUAUGUUGGCCGGGCGACGGUUGUCCCGGUUUAAGCGUGUAGGCUGGUUUUCCAGGCAAAUCCGGAAAAUCAAGGCUGAGGCGUGAUGACGAGGCACUACGGUGCUGAAGCAACAAAUGCCCUGCUUCCAGGAAAAGCCUCUAAGCAUCAGGUAACAUCAAAUCGUACCCCAAACCGACACAGGUGGUCAGGUAGAGAAUACCAAGGCGCUUGAGAGAACUCGGGUGAAGGAACUAGGCAAAAUGGUGCCGUAACUUCGGGAGAAGG
rnacentral:rRNA from 1 species